rnacentral:rRNA from 1 species
UACGUAGGGUGCAGGCGUUAAUCGGAAUUACUGGGCGUAAAGGGCUCGUAGGCGGCCAACUAAGUCAGACGUGAAAUCCCUCGGCUUAACCGGGGAACUGCGUCUGAUACUGGAUGGCUUGAGUUCGGGAGAGGGAUGCGGAAUUCCAGGUGUAGCGGUGAAAUGCGUAGAUAUCUGGAGGAACACCGGUGGCGAAGGCGGCAUCCUGGACCGAUACUGACGCUGAGGAGCGAAAGCCAGGGGAGCAAACGGG